UACGGGGGGUGCAAGCGUUGUUCGGAAUUAUUGGGCGUAAAGCGCACGUAGGCGGAUCUGUAAGUCGAUUGUGAAAGCCCUGGGCUUAACCUGGGAAUUGCAGCCGAAACUGCAGACCUUGAAUGCUUGAGAGGAUGACGGAAUUCCUGGUGUAGAAGUGAAAUUCGUAGAUAUCAGGAGGAACACCCGAGGCGAAGGCGGUUAUCUGGCAAUGCAUUGACGCUGAGGUGCGAAAGCGUGGGUAGCAAAC
rnacentral:rRNA from 1 species